GAUGAAGAACGUAGUGAAAUGCGAUAAGUAAUGUGAAUUGCAGAAUUCAGUGAAUCAUCGAAUCUUUGAACGCACAUUGCGCCCGCUAGUAUUCUGGCGGGCAUGCCUGUUCGAGCGUCAUUUCAACCCUCAAGCUCUGCUUGGUGUUGGGAAUCGGCGUAGCGGCCUUCGGGCAGCUGCCGUUCCCUAAAUCUAGUGGCGGUCCCGCUGUAGCCUCCUCUGCGUAGUAGUUUUCUCCUCGCACCGGCAGCCUAGUGGUGACCUCGCCGUAAAACCCCCAACUUCUGAAAGGUUGACCUCGAAUCAGGUAGGAAUACCCGCUGAACUUAAGCAUAUCAAUAAGCGGAGGA
rnacentral:misc_RNA from 1 species